CGACAGACCGCGAUGAAGAGGCAGUGAGAGGGUGGAGGAGCGUUUCGACAUGGCAGACAGUGCGAGGUCUCAGCUGCCAGAAGAUCUGAAUUCAGCCAGUUUUCCUCGGUCUGAUGAGUCUCUUCAUUAAAUCUGCCCCAGUCUUCUUCCCUCGCUGCAGAAACCAGCUGACUUUGCACUGUGGGGUGAGGUAGUAGGUUGUAUAGUUUUAGGGUCACACCCGCACUGGGAGAUAACUAUUCAACCUACUGUCUUUCUCAAAGUGCCAAACGCACGUCUCAGCCUCCGCCCCCGCUGAAGGCCAGUUUUCUGACAUCAGUGUUUGCAUGGAUCCAGAUGUUUUAAAAUGGCAGUUGUUUUAUCACAGCUGCUCACACAGUGUGAGGUAGUAGAUUGUAUAGUUGUAGGGUAGUGAUUUUGCCCUGUUCUGGAGAUAACUAUACAAUCUAUUGCCUUCCCUGAGGAGUGGCAUAUCUUCAGGUUUUUUUUUUUUAAUGAAAUGCACAAUGUAUAUCUGAUAAACUAUUAGCCAGUAAUGGGAAAUGUAUGUUCUAUAUUUAUGUAUUAAAUGAUCAGUCAAUAAUAAUAAAUGAUUGAGAGUUCUUAUGCAGAAUGUUUCAUAGGCUUUGUGUGCAGAAAUAAAGGAACAUUUGAAGAGUCAGAA